CCAUCGCACAACGGAUAAAGGCUACCCCGGGGAUAACAGGCUUAUCUCCCCCAAGAGUCCACAUCGACGGGGAGGUUUGGCACCUCGAUGUCGGCUCAUCACAUCCUGGGGCUGUAGUCGGUCCCAAGGGUUGGGCUGUUCGCCCAUUAAAGCGGUACGCGAGCUGGGUUCAGAACGUCGUGAGACAGUUCGGUCCCUAUCCGUCGUGGGCGUAGGAAAUUUGAGAGGAGCUGUCCUUAGUACGAGAGGACCGGGAUGGACGCACCGCUGGUGUACCAGUUGUUCUGCCAAGGGCAUAGCUGGGUAGCUAUGUGCGGAAGGGAUAAGUGCUGAAAGCAUCUAAGCAUGAAGCCCCCCUCAAGAUGAGAUUUCCCAUAGCGUAAGCUAGUAAGAUCCCUGAAAGAUGAUCAGGUUGAUAGGUUCGAGGUGGAAGCAUGGUGACAUGUGGAGCUGACGAAUACUAAUAGAUCGAGGACUUAACCAU
rnacentral:rRNA from 1 species